UACGUAGGGGGCUAGCGUUGUCCGGAAUCAUUGGGCGUAAAGAGCGCGUAGGCGGCUAGAUAAGUCCGGUGUGAAAGUCACAGGCUCAACCUGUGAAUGCCGCUGGAAACUGUCUGGCUAGAGUCCGGAAGAGGAGAGUGGAAUUCCUGGUGUAGCGGUGAAAUGCGCAGAUAUCAGGAGGAACACCAAUUGCGAAGGCAGCUCGCUGGGACGUUACUGACGCUGAGACGCGAAAGCGUGGGGAGCAAACAGG
rnacentral:rRNA from 1 species